UCCGGGACAGUUUAGUAAACUGUCCGGGACAGUUUCGGGACAGUUUAGUAAACUGUCCAGGACAGUUUACAAACCGUCCCGGACGGUUUCUAAACUGUCCCGGACAGUUUAGAAUAGUUUUGGACCAGUUCGUACACCAUAGAAAACAAGUUUUUUUCUAAGAUUUGACCUUUAGUUCUAGUUU